UAAUUUUGCGCGGUCUGAAAACUGAGUUACGGGAGGCCUUCUUCAGCAUAGUUCACAGACAGUGCGAGAACAUUUGAAGAUCACAUGGUUUCCAAGAAGAUCAAGAAAAAAUACUCCUCAUCAUCUUUGGAGGAACAGCAGGAGUGGGAAGAGUAUCUGAGGAGAAUGUGCACAUCUCAGACCAUGGAGAAGGAAGUCUGCUGUGCAAGUGAGACACAUUAUGGGGAUUCAGUGAAGGGAAAUAAAAAUAAAUCAAAG